UCCAGCUACAGGAAAACAAAAAUGAGUUUUGGGGUACUAAACUAAAAACACCAAGGAAGAAGGUAGGAAAGAGCCAGUGGCCAGUAAUGGUAAAGUAUAUUCAUUCUAAGUAAUGGGGAGCAAUAUUUUAAUAGCUGUUCAUGAAUUUUUCUUUUUUUAAGAGACAAGAGAUUUGUUAUGUGGCCCAGGCCGGCUCUGAACUCCAGGGCUCAACUGAUCCUCCUGCCUCAGCCACCCAAGUAGCUGGAAAUAUAGAAAAUAGGAAAAGUACCUCUGAACAGAAUGCAGAAUACUGGUUCCCUGAGGGAAACUGUGUUCUCUGCCAGAGCCUUGGUGUCUGAGAAUACUCCCUGUGGCAUGGCUGCCUGGAGCCAUUGGCUCACCUGUUCUUAAGAUGCUCUGGGCCUUCGCAUUGCCAAGUUUCGCAGCUUGGAUGAGGUGGAGUGCACCCACGGCUUCAUCUUUUGGCACUGACAUCCCUUCCACCAAGAGCAGGUCCUCUGAGCCGAGUGAAGAGAGUGAGGAGAAGCAGUUGUUAGUGAGCUGUGGGCAGCCCUGGGGAGAGGCCAAGCUUAUGUGCUUAUGGGCAGCAAGCCCCGAGUGAGGUGCUUUCUGUUUAUAGUCGCAGGGCUGAAGAUGAAGCUCAGUAGUAGAGCACUUGCCCAGUAUGCACAAGGCCCUGAGUUCAAUUCCCAGCCCCGUGGACACAUUAUGCAAAACUUUAUUAUUCAUAAACAUCCAUAUAUAUUGCCCCCCCCAAAGCCUUUGCUGCCCUCUUGAUAACUGGCUAUACAUAAUCCAAAACUUCUAUAGCUGGGAAAAAUCUCAAAUGUGAUGACAGUCUUCUAGCCCUCUGGCUCCCUUGCUUUUCACUUCUAAAUACUGGAGUCUUUAAAGUAUUCUGUCCCCACAAAUGAUCAGGCUCCUUAAUUCAGUUCCAUCCUCAUCUACCCCAGACGCAGUGCCACACUACUUCAGUGCCCAAUGUUCUAGGGUAGCAUGGCACAGCAACUGCAGAGCAGUCAGGCCUGGGUGCGGUUCCAGCUCUGCCACUACUAACUGCAUAGACCUCCCCAUGUCACUUCAUCACUAUAUAUUCCUCCCUUCUAGAAUACUGGGGCAGUAGUACCUAGGGUCAUUUCAGAGAUCAAAUGAGAUAAUGGAUUAUUAAGUACUUAACAAUGCUGGCUAGAGUAAAUGCUAAAUAAACAGUAGAGAUUUCUAUUA